ACUAAAACUCUUUCCACAUUCAUUACAUUGAUAUGGUUUUUCUCCUGUGUGGAUCCUUUUGUGGGAAGUGAGUUGAGAUAACUGCUUGUCCUGAAACUCUUUCC